rnacentral:rRNA from 1 species
UACGUAGGUGGCGAGCGUUGUUCGGAAUUACUGGGCGUAAAGGGCGCGUAGGCGGCCUUCUAAGUCGAACGUGAAAUCCCCGGGCUCAACCCGGGAACUGCGUCCGAUACUGGAAGGCUUGAAUCCGGGAGAGGGAUGUGGAAUUCCAGGUGUAGCGGUGAAAUGCGUAGAUAUCUGGAGGAACACCGGUGGCGAAGGCGACAUCCUGGACCGGUAUUGACGCUGAGGCGCGAAAGCCAGGGGAGCAAACGGG